UACGUAGGGUGCGAGCGUUGUCCGGAAUUACUGGGCGUAAAGAGCUCGUAGGUGGUUUGUCACGUCGUCUGCGAAAUUCCGGGGCUUAACCUCGGGCGUGCAGGCGAUACGGGCAAUACUUGAGUGCUGUAGGGGAGGCUGGAAUUCCUGGUGUAGUGGUGAAAUGCGCAGAUAUCAGGAGGAACACCAAUGGCGAAGGCAGGUCUCUGGGCAGUUACUGACGCUGAGGAGCGAAAGCAUGGGUAGCGAACAGGAUUAGAUA
rnacentral:rRNA from 1 species